UAUUUACGAUGAAGGAGUUGGGUCGCCCAUGAGAACGGACGGAUUAUUGGCGCACAAUCCAGCAUCAAAAUCGUCCUGCGUUUCGCACUCAACGGCGCGGAAACCUAUUUCACUGUUGAUGGACUCGACAAAGUUGAAAUUGACCGCCGUUGGGGUAAAAGUCAAUAUGUCCGAUAGGUGGUAAAAAGCCUUGCUGGUCGUGCAGCAAUGUGCCGCCGUUUGUGUGAAUGAUAUCGACAAAGUCACCGUCUGUCGUGUCCAGUCGCGUCUCCGUGUCGUUGAGGGUGAACAAAGGUCCGGCUGGGUCCAGUCCUGCCAUGCGUUUAUUUCGACUGACUGCCGCUCCUGCACCGCCUACGACGUGAGCCCCAAGGCUAUGACCCAUCAAGUGAAUGGAGCUAAACGACGUUUCCGUAUUCUCGACGAGGAAAUCAAUGAAUUGUCUUUUCCAGCGCAAAAAUAGGAUAUUCGAUACCUGAUGCCAAAACGGACCAAUCAAUGGCGAUGAAAUUGCAAUGUUCACGUUGUAGGCGCCAGACAAGUAAUUAUCCCAGGAAUCACAAAAAAUAGAACGGAAUCCUAUCUCGGUUGUUAUGGAUUCAGUAAAAUAAUCGACAGCUCGGCAGUGGGCGCAGCAUCCUGUAAAAAGCGCUGACACCGUCACAUCCAGGUUGGACAAGUCCGCCAUUUGGGAAAAAAUCUAUGUGGCCAAUGGGUACCGUGAAGCGACCUUCCGUGUGGAUGAUGUCGACGAAAUGAGCGUCAGUCGUGUCCAGCCUCCCAUCAGUAUCUUCUAGCGGAUAAAACUCGUCAGUGUGAGAGGGAUCUAGACCUGUAUUAGUAUUUUAGUUAUUUUGUACCUUAUUUUGCAUUUGCAUUAAAUUUAAUAAGUACGAUUAUUGAUUACCUGUGAUUCUGGCUACCCUCUCUCCAGAUGUAACUGCGGCUCCGGCAAACCCAACCACAUGCGCCCCAAAACUAUUUUAAAUAUUUCAAGAAAAACUUUUUGAAGUCCGCUAACAUCGUAAUCGGAGUAAUACCUGUGACCAAUAAGGUGAAAAUCGUCUAGUGUUGCCCCUUCAGUCACGAGAAAAUUGAUAAAUUUGCCGGUGAGCAUUCCAGCUAGCGGCACGUAAUUGGUAGAGACAUAAGAAUAAUUCCCUGUUGCCAUGGUGGACCAAUCGAUGGCAAUAAAGUUGCAGUCCUGCCGCUCCAAAUAUCCUUUGAAGUAGGUUGGCAUCAUAUUUUCAAUAAUCUAAAUAGAUUCCCUGCAAUUAAGGUCUAUUACCGUCUUUUGUGGGGUAGCUAUACGUGGGAGAACCGUUGAGUCCAUGAGCAAAGAACUUGGUUUUCAGACUGUUGUUGUAAUUGGAUUGGUGCAGUAAAGUGGCAUUGUCCAGUUCAAGUAUUUGAGGCUCAUUGGGAUUUUCCCUGUUGAAAACUACCGUUUCUUAGGGAUGAACGAUUUUAUUAAUAGUUUUUCUAUACCUUGUAAACAAUUGGAAGUGAAUUUCCUCUAUUAGUUCCUCGGUUGUUCCUGCUUUCACUUUCAAUUGAAUGUUUCUCCAUUAAUUUCACUUUUCCCCUUUUUUUAAAUUGUGGUAAGUUUUGUAAGUUGAGAAAGGAACUCACCAGAACCAACGCGAGGCAAUUCAAUUAGCCAAAAAAGGGAACUAACACCCAAAAGCCAUCUGUUGAUAAAAAGCAUUCUUUUAUUAGUUUAUUUAUGCUGUUAGGUAUUGUGAUUUAGGGUAAAAUAAAGAAUUUUCUAAUGAAUUUCAAGUUGGUGUUAGACUUCUCGUUACGGCGUCUCGGUAACAGUUGUCAUUGACUGAAAUAAUAAAGUUCAGCAAAAUGGUAAAGAAUUCUUAUCAGUAAUGGAGAGACGCGACAAGUAUAGAUUGUGUGAAUUGACAUAAUCACAUCGGAGAUAAAAGAACGAGAUCACAGACGGGACAGGGAUAUAUAAACGCUACGGGACAGGGAUAUAUAAACGCAGCUCCACUUAAUCGUCAAAUUAAUUCGUUUUAGCCUACUUUUCAAAUUGAUACUUCAUUCAAAUUUUGUACUUCAUGGUUUGACUGUUUGAGACACUUUUGCUUGCAGCAUGAGGUACAGUAUGAAGUAUGAAGUAAGCAACUUACCCUUAUUAAGAUGUGUAUUGUGUAACUUGGGAGCAGACAAAGUUUCCCAAGAGGAUUCCAUUUAGUAGGGCAUUUAGCCCAAACAAAGCUGUCACAUUCUUAAUGCUGCUCUCCAACUAUCAAUGGCCAUCGAAACCUACAAAAAAAAAGAAAGGUUUAUCAUAGGUAAGGCACAGUGCAGAGUAACAGGGAUAAAGUUAAAAUGGUGAUACGUAGAGGUAGCAGAAGACGAUAUUUCGUCAACAAUCUGGAAUCACUAACAGGGAUGGAACUGGAGGUGGGGCCAGGUGAGGCUUGAAAGAAAACCAAGAUGGCCGCCCUGGUUUGCGAACCCAUCCCCCUCCUUUUCUUUGUCAGUGAUUCCCCCUCCCUUUCCAUGCAGAAUGGGCAAUGUGUGUGUUGACAAUUCGUCUGUGUCGUGUCUCGUGUUAUUAGUUCCUUCGUGUUAGUUAGUUCCAAUAGGGCGCCAUUGGUUAUAGACUUAUAGUUAAGUGUUCCUAGUUAGACUACUUUGUAGUCUGUGGUUAAAAGUUAAAAGAAUAGCAAACAAAUGGUGAGUUACAGUGUUGACUGUGCAAGUGUCGUCGGCCAGGAAUUUGGUCACUUUUACGCUUGGUGUUUCUUGCGGAUUGUGAAUAACGUUCGUGUCUAUUAUUUGAUCGAGUGUACGAUUGUCAAAAUCUCAGUGACGAUAUUCAUGCUGCGAUGCAACCUUACCUACUUCCCUCAAUUUCAGUGGAAAUUAUUCAGAAUGGUCACCGCCUAGAGUGUCUACACUCUACACUUGUGGUGGUGUGAUUGUGAUGGUAAUUCUCAGCAUUUUGCAUUUUGAUAAUUACAGCUGAAGUUUUAAUGAGACCCGGUGGUCAUGACAAUAGAAAUAAAAUGGUCUAAUCCAAUAAUGCAAGCUAAUUCUUCUAAAGCUCAGGAGUUUCUAUUUAUUGCGAGGUUAACUUUUUGCUGUAAAGGUUGUAGUAAAUCUCCAAGUUAUUGAUGCCUUCCCCGGAUCCAAUACUUUACUGCUACCUGCUAUCUGUUUUACAAACAACAUGAGAAAGCUGCCGCUCAAGAAGUUGUGGUGACUAUCGCUUAGUUCAGAUUUAGGAAAAUGUAAGAUUGACAGAUUUGAGGUUAAUCCCUCGCCGCUGUGAUAGUCGUUUGGAAAC
rnacentral:lncRNA from 1 species